rnacentral:pre_miRNA from 1 species
AGCUUUCUGAAUCCGUACUGAAAUUUCGUCGGAAACCAACCCAUUAGGGCCGAUCAAGCUUCCAAGAUAAGUGAAGUU